rnacentral:rRNA from 1 species
UACGUAGGGUGCGAGCGUUGUCCGGAAUUACUGGGCGUGAAGAGCUCGUAGGUGGUUUGUCGCGUCGUCUGUGAAAUUCUGGGGCUUAACUCCGGGCGUGCAGGCGAUACGGGCAUAGCUUGAGUACUGUAGGGGAGACUGGAAUUCCAGGUGUAGCGGUGAAAUGCGCAGAUAUCAGGAGGAACACCGGUGGCGAAGGCGGGUCUCUGGGCAGUAACUGACGCUGAGGUACGAAAGCGUGGGUAGCAAACAGG